GGGUAGGCGCCGGUAGAACGGGUAUCAUUGAUGUUGAUAAACAUAGGACGAUUGGUCCUCUUACCUU
rnacentral:tRNA from 1 species